AUGGCAGGAGUGGACACCUUGAAGCACGGCAUAAUCUGGAGAGUGGGCGAUGGACAAAAAAUUAAAAUUUGGGAAGAUUGCUGGAUCCCACAAUCACCAUCUAAAAAAGUUAUCUCCACUAGAGGUAACCACUUGUUAUCCCGUGUAUCUGAGCUAAUUGAUCCUGCAUCGGGGGAGUGGGAUAGGCAGCUUGUAUACCAAACUUUUUGUCAUGUUGAUGCCCAGAGAAUACUUGCUAUCCCACUGCCUAUAUAUGAAAUGUCAGACUUCUUGGCAUGGAGCUUGACAAAGACAGGGGGUUUCUCGGUAAGAUCUACAUAUCAUGCUGUUUGGGAGGCCCAGUUUGGUCACCAUCUGCAGGCUGGCUGUAGCUCAUCAGCGCCUAAACCCACUUGGAAAUCUCUUUGGGGGCUGAAUUGUCCUGCAAAAAUUAAAAUUUUUGUUUGGAGAGUGACCCACAGCGCUAUUCCAUGCCGGGCGUUAUUGGCGGAUAGACAUAUCAAGAUAAAAGCCCAUUGUCCUUCUUGCAACCUAGGCCCUGAGACCAUUCGACACUUGUUGUUUGAGUGCCCAGUCGCCACCGAGGUUUGGAAGCUGCUUGGAUUGCAUGAGGUAACCACUAAAGCCCUGGUUUUGGACAGAUCUGGGGAAGUAACUUUAGAAUUCCUUCUCAAUCUUCCAGAUAAUCAUAUCCAUGUGUUGGGACUCCCCAAAUUCAGAGAAACAAUUGCCACGUGCUGCUGGUUUUUGUGGUGGGAAAGAAGAAAGCUAACACACGGAGGAGUAAAGCUUAAUGCUUCAUAG
rnacentral:rRNA from 1 species